UCCGCGGUCCGCCACUAGCCAGCAAAGUCGUCGCAGCCAUCGCCUAUAAAUAAAAGGGGGGAAGCCUCGGUCGCGCUCAGGAAUGCCAAGCCUUGUGCCAUUGCCUGAAUGCUCCACUCCGCGCUCGCCAUUGGAAGAGAGGGGGAAGUUGCGGGGUGCACGCCGGGGGGAAUUUCCUCCACCGUACGUCCUCUGGCGGGUGCUCUGGCACUUUUGGCCGGGUGUGUGGAUCCAAGCGGGGGCAGGAUUGGUGCCUCCGAGGCCAUAGCGCGGCGGGAAUUGCUCACCAGAGCCAGGAGUUCGCGCCGUGAAGCUCCCCACCACGGUCCGACCUCCACGCGACACCUCUGCCGAUGAACCAGUGACCGAGGAUCCAGGUGUUCAGUAGGUAGAAGUUGCUGAACAAGAGCUCAUUGAAGGAAAGUUGUGCCCUUGACCACUUUUAUUUACCCAAUAAUGUUCUCUAUAAUCAUUUUGGCAUGCAUAGGCUUAAUUUUGAUGGGACCCAAUAGGUCACUCUAGUUUGGUCAUCUUUACACCUUGCUUACCCCUAAACUUUUGGGUAGUCUUUGUUAUUGCUAUAUAUGGUUUUGGGUGUUGAGAUAACUAUUACACAUGGUCAUUCUUUAUUAUUUUUGUUCUAUUUUUGUUCAUGAUAAGACUAUUAUGUUAAUUGGAACAUGGAGCUUAAUUUGAGAAACAUGUGUCACCACAAGGGUGGAAUGGGACACCCUUGGCUGACUAAUUAGGAAAGCUAGUGGAGGUCUACCUUACCAGAAAGGGGCAAGGGCAGUAGGGGAGUUGGCGGUGUAGGGAGGUUCUCUUGUUGAUUUUGCUGCGAUAGCGGUCAAACGGGGGAUUCCUGCAUUUGUGCUCCCUAGAAACUGUAGCGGGUUUUCUGAAGCCAGUGGAACUUUGUAAAGGCCUCGUAGUGUUACCUGCCUCGCUUCCUUGGUAGAGGUGUAUGGGGCUCAUACAACCCCGUGGCAAAUGGGUAACAUGACUUGUGGGUAAAGGGUACAACCUCUGCAGAGUGUAAAACUGGUAUACUAGUCGUGCUCGCAGUCAUGAGCAGCUCAGGACUCUCGCAUGAUUAAUUUAUGGAAUUAAACUCAAUUUUGUCAUAUGCAUCGCAUUGUGGUUUAUUAUUAAAUUUUGAUCUAUUAUUACUCUGGUUUGGUAUCUACUUACAUUUAGUAACUGCUAAUAAAAUUUGACCAACUUAUUAAAAGCAAUGAUCAGCUUUAACACUUAUUAUUUGAUCAGCCUUACACUUCACAUCAGCUCCCACCUUUGGUGAGUUCAUGCACAUUAUUCGCCACAACUUGUUGAGAUAUGAUCUUUUGUGAGCUCACCCUUGCGAUAUAUAAACCCCCAUAUGAGAAGAACAGGUGGUCCUGGAGGAGCCUUACAAUGAGGAGUACAAGCUUAUCUAGGUGGUAUCUCCCAGUCAGCUUGAUGGCGCUAAGGAAUAAUACUUAGUUCUCUUUAUUGUUCUCAUUUAUUUUUUUUUGUAAGACUUCUGCUAUGUAAUAAUGAUAUUUGUGACAAUUAUCUUUAUACACUGUCAUUAUAUGU